UUCUGGGUGAAGCCCGUUCUCUCCAGCAGCCGUCGGGAGCAAGGCACUGCCUCCCAGCCUCCGCUAACUGGCUUCUGGGGAGCGUGCAGAGGGAGCAGCAGCAGGUGGCGUCCACACAUCAGAAGCUGCCAUCCUGCCCUAUGUGCCCUACCCAAUCAGUCCCACCACAGGUUCCCCUCCAGCCACGCAAGAAGGACGUCCCCGCUGGGGGCUGUCAUGACAGACCCCGUCACAGGCAUUGAGGUCAGCUGCUUGUACUGGGAGGCCUGCGAGAUGCUUCAGGGAACCUCAUGCUGCCUGGUGACAGCUUUGUGGAGCCACUGAGCGGGAAGACAGUCCAGCUCCAGGGGGCUUCCCGACGAGAGGGCCAGACAUUGCCCCAUAUGGGAGGGCCACAGGCCCUGCUGGACACCAGUGUGCUAGUGGCCCAGAGGCGAGUGAUUGCAGUGCUCCAGCAGUGCCAGGAGAGUCCAGAGUCGGGUGUACAGGAAACUCUGGAGGCUGCCAUUAAGGACAUGAGACAGGCACUGGCCUUGACUCUGCACCAUGU
rnacentral:sRNA from 1 species